rnacentral:rRNA from 1 species
CAGCAGCCACGGUAAGACGAACCGUGCGAACGUUAUUCGGAAUCACUGGGCUUAAAGCGCGUGUAGGCGGGAGGGCACGUCCGUCGCUGAAAUCCCCCGGCUCAACCGGGGAACGGGCGCGGAUACGACUCUUCUGGAGGAACGUAGGGGGACCUGGAACUUCCGGUGGAGCGGUGAAAUGCGUUGAGAUCGGAAGGAACGCCCGUGGCGAAAGCGAGGUCCUGGACGUUUACUGACGCUGAGACGCGAAAGCCAGGGGAGCGAACGGGAUUAGAUACCCCUGUAGUCCCUGUCUCUUAUA